rnacentral:rRNA from 1 species
CAGCCAUCUGAGCAACAGUCCACAGCUCACACACAACACCACCCGACAAUACCAAGCAGACACACGGCUGCCGCCUUCUGCUCUCCGGACAGCAGAGGUCCGGAGAGUUGUUUCAUGCGUCCCCCCCAAGCAACCGACGAAGCUCGCCAUGCUUUUACUGUUGGCAUUGCUGCUGCUCUGUAAUGAAGUUGGCAACGCACACUGCUCAACUAUCCACGAAAACAGCGUCGAUCUGCACUCGCUGCUUGCCUUCAAGCAGAGCAUCACCAACGAUCCUCAAGGAGCCUUGAGUAACUGGGACAACAGGACCCACUUCUGCCGCUGGAAUGGUGUCAACUGCACCUCCACGACACCACCGUUCCGUGUCUCGUCGCUUAUUCUCGCUAGCCAAAACUUAGCAGGCCAAAUUAGCCCCUCUCUUGGAAACCUAACUUUCCUCACGUGGCUUGACCUUUCCGGGAACUACUUUGUUGGCCCAUUGCCUGUCCUUGGCCAUCUUCAAAGACUACAGACACUUUACCUCAACAACAACAGUUUAAAUGGGAUAAUUCCUGAUUCACUUACCAACUGUUCCAACUUUAUCAACUUAGAUAUCUCUGUAAACUCCCUCGUGGGUGUAAUUCCUACAAAACUGGUCUUCCUUUCAAGUCUGGCCUACUUAGAUCUCUCUGCAAACUCGCUAGCCGGUCAAAUUCCACCAAAAUUAGACCUUCUUUCACAUUUGUCCUACUUAAACCUGUCAGUAAACUCCCUAGUGGGUCAAAUUCCUACGGAAGUGGUCUUUCUUUCUGAUCUGACUGCCUUGGAUCUCUCUAAAACAUGCUAGUGGGUCAAAUUCCUCUGAAACUAGACUUCCUGCCAAAACUGAUUUACUUGGAUCUCUCUGUAAAUUUGCUAGUAGGCCAAAUUCCUCCGAGUUUAGGCUUUCUUCCUAAUCUAACAUAUAUCUUUCUUCGAUCAAAUCAACUUAAGGGGAGCAUUCCUGAGCUUGGGCAAUUUCCGCAAUUGCAAGAGCUGAUCCUGGGAAAAAAUAAGCUUUCAUGUGAACUCCCACAUGCCAUCUUGAAUGCUUCUGGUUCGCUCCAAAUUUUGGGCUUGGAAUUCAAUAUGCUAAGCAACACAUUGCCACCUAAUAUUGGCGACCGACUUCCUAAGCUCAUUCAUCUUACAUUGUCUGGUAACACGUUUGAAGGUAACAUCCCAGCUUCCCUAGGAAAUGCUCAAGGUUUAAAACUGAUAGAUUUAUCAGAUAACAGUUUCACAUGGAUAAUUCCUACUUCUUUUGGGAAGCUUUCAAAUCUGACUAUUCUAAACCUUGAGAAUAACCUGCUUGAAACAAGGGACAACAGAGACUGGGAGUUCUUAAAUGCACUAAGAAAUAACAGUUUCACCGGGAUAAUUCCUACUUCUUUUGGAAAGCUUUCAAAUCUAACUACCCUAAACCUUGAGAAUAACCUGCUUGAAACAAGGGAUAACAGAGACUGGGAGUUCUUAAAUGCACUGAGAAAUUGUCGGUCUCUAAAGGUACUAUCAGUCUCUUUGAAUCAGCUGCAGGGAUCUACUCCCCAGUCCAUUGGUAACCUAUCCCCCAGCCUUGAGCAACUCUUGCUGUUUGGAAACAACUUAUCAGGACAAGUACCCCAGAGCAUCAGAAAACUUAGCGCCUUAAUUAAACUGGUACUUGGUGAAAAUAUUUAAGUGGUACAAUUGAGGGAUGGGUUGGUGACCUAAAAGGCCUUGUAUCAUUAUAUCUCCAGUCAAACAGCUUCACCGGCCUAAUCCCAUCCUCUGUUGGCAAACUUACUCGAUUGACAUAUCUGCAUAUAGGUGAAAAUGAGUUCGAGGGCCAUAUACCAGCCAGCUUGGGAAACCUUCCACUCUUACGGCUGCACCUUGGCGAUAACAAUUUCCAAGUCUAUAUACCAUCAAAAUUUGGAAACCUCCAACAACUAAUAUCAUUGAAUCUCAGCCACAACUACCUCCAAGGUGACAUACCUCACAUUAGUACCCUUAAGCAACUUACUACUUUGGAUCUUUCAUCAAAUAAGCUAACAGGGCAAAUUCCUGAUUCUUUGGGCCAAUGUAACGGCUUAGUGAGUCUGCAAAUAGAUCAAAACUUUAUGUCGGGAAACAUUCCAACAACAUUUGGCAACCUGUUGUCACCGAGCAUGCUUAAUAUUUCACACAACAACUUGUCAGGCACUAUCCCGUUAGCUCUGAGCAAACUAGAGUACCUCAUCAAUCUUGACCUUUCGUGUAAUAAUCUAGAAGGAGAAUUACCAAGGAAUGGAGUAUUUGGAAAUGCCACAGCUGUUUCAAUUGAGGGUAAUUGGGGGCUCUUUGGAGGUGCGAUAGAUCUUCACAUGCCCAUGUGCCCUACUGUUUCUCGGAGGUCAGAGACACAAUACUAUUUGGUCCGAGCGUUGAUUCCAUUAUUUGGCUUCACAUCACUUGUAAUGUUGGCUUACAUUGUAUUCUUUGGGAAGAAGACGUCACGAACAACAUAUUCGGUUUUGCUUUCUUCUGGUAAGAAAUUCCCUAGAGUUGCCUACAAUGAUGUAGCUCGAGCUACAGGGAAGUUCUCAGAGUUAAACCUUAUUGGGAGAGGAAGCUAUGGUUCAGUGUACAGAGGAAAGUUAACUCAAGCUAAAAUACAAGUGGCUAUUAAGGUUUUUGACCUUGAUAUGAAAUGUGCGGACAAAAGUUUUGUAAUAGAAUAUGAGGUUUUGAGUAGAAUUCGGCACCGGAACCUUGUACCUAUCCUAACUGCAUGUUCAACAGUACACAAUAAAGGUGACACUUUCAAGGCUCUAAUUUAUGAAUUCAUGCCUAACGGGAAUUUGGACACAUGGUUGCAUAACAAAUUUUUGAGUAGUUCUUCAAAAUAUUUGAGCUUAUCUCAAAGAGCAAUCAUAGCUACUGGUAUAGCCAAUGCAUUGGCUUAUUUACACAAUGAUUGUGAAAGGCAGAUUGUACAUUGUGAUUUGAAGCCAAAAAAUAUCCUUCUUGACGAUGAUAUGAAUGCUUACUUUGGAGACUUCGGCAUUGCAAGCCUCAUCGGACAUUCAAGCCUAGCUACCUCAACUGGGCUGAAGGGAACGAUAGGCCACAUAGCUCCAGAAUAUGCUCAAAGCGGCAAGGCAUCAAUCUGUGGGGAUGUUUACAGUUUCGGGAUAGUACUCUUAGAGAUGCUCAUUGGCAAAAGACCGACAGACCCUAUGUUUGAGAAUGAACUCAACAUGGCCAACUUUGUGCAGAGGAACUAUCCAGAUAAGAUACUACUCCCUCUAUAAACUAAUAUAAGAGUGUUUAGAUUACUAAAAUAGUGAUCUAAACGCUCUUAUAUUAGUUUACGGAGGGAGUACAUAUUAUUGAUGCACGUCUCCAUGGGGAAUGCAAGGGCUAUAUCCAAGCCAACAUUGGAGUAAAUUGCAAAAAACCACCACAAUUGUGGACGCGAUUUCACAAAACCGCCACCAUUCGUUUUUUUUCAAAAAACCACCACGUUUGUGCUGAUAGUUUUCAAAUAACGCUGAUCGAGCGUUUUGCCGCGUCUGAUAGCAAACCUGACCGGUUGGGCCCGCUGUCAGGUGCCACGUGGACAUGGGGCGACGGCGGCCGUCAGGCGCCGUUAGACGGCGUCGCACAAAACCUAACGACCCGAUCCAGAGCAUCCUGUUCCCCCUGUCCUCCCCCGAUUCCCCCCCUCCCCCCAUGGCGACCGGCGGCGGCGGCGGUGACGACAGGGACGACCCCCACCUCUCCAUCCUCGAUUCCGCGGGCCUCUCCGCCAUUCGUAGCUCGCCGACGGUGCUCCCUGCUCCUGCUGGCCCUGUUCGAUCCGCCAUUGUCGGCGUCGAUGAGCGCGGCGAGGAGGUCAGCAGAUUCAAAGCGAGCUCCGACGACCUUGAGUCCAGGGCGGCGGCCAAUCUGGCCCAGGUGUGGAAGGCCAAUCCAGGGCAUAGCCAUCAGUACACAUCCGGCCUUGGUGGCGUGGAUUUGGAUGAAGAUGAACCUUGGGAUCUCAGGUUCCAUUUUCAAGGUUGUGACAACCUGGAAAGGACCAUAUGUGAAUCUGAUAUCACAUACAUCAAUAUGUUAGCUAUUAUUGGGAUUGAGGGGUAUGAUCAGAAGGACUCAAUGUAUUAUGUGAAGCAACAUGGUGUGGGAAUGGCAGGCAUGAAGCAAAUCAAAUCUGAGGAAGAUGUUGAAGAAAUGCUAAUAUUAUAUGAGGACAAGAGGUGUGUCAAUGUCACAGUGAUGAAAGGAAGAGAGUCUGACAUGGAAAUGAACAUUGGAGAUGGAUGUGAGCAGCAGAUUCCAAUUUCUGAGAUUGGUUCUCCUAAGGUAUAUAGUGUAGAUGAUGCAGGUGUGAUAUAUCAAACUCAGACCUGUGAACCACAGCCAGAAGAUUCUUAUGGUGAAUAUCUUUUCACACAGGAGAGUUGCAAUGUUAGAAGUGGGAAGGUCACAGCAGGUAUCAAAGUAUUAGAUGACUUUCUUAAUGAGUUUGCUGACAUACCAGUAGUGCAUGAAGAAGAUUACAUGAAAGAGGACAAGGAGGAAGAGGUGCAAGAGGAAGAGGAGGAAGGAAAUGAACAACAAGAAGAUGAGCUAGAGGAAGAGGAAGAUGAAGAUGAUGCAAACUUAUAUCAGAAAAUAAAAGACUUGAAGAGGAAGAGGGUUUUUGAAGGUGAUUGUGAGCCAGAAGACUUAUUCUGUGAGAAUGAGGAGGAGGAGGAUGGAGAGGGGUUUGUUCAGGCACCACCUAUGCAGAAAUUGCCUGUUAGAAGAGGUCCAACAGAUAGAGCACAUUGCAGUUCACAAGCUGAACUUGAGGGAGACUACAUUCCUGUAUCUGAUGAAGAUAUGGAUGAACUUUAUGUUGAUUCAGGUGCUGAAGUAGUGGUGCAUUGUCCCACAUCUGGAAGAAAGUCCAGGGCAAAAAAGAGGAAGUCCAGGAUAUGGUAUGAUGAGAAUAGACUUGUGCCAGAACAACAAAUAUGUUGGCAUAUGUGUUUUGUUGAUGUUUACCAAUUCAGAAGAGCACUAGUUAACUUGCAUGUGACACAAAGGAGGAACUUCCAUUACCAUAGGAACAACAAAGACAGGAUCAUAGUUGAUUGUCUUGAGGAAGGCUGCCCCUUUCACAUGGUUGCAUCUGUGGUUGCAAAUGAGAAAACAUUCAGCAUUAGGAAGCUGCAACUAGAGCAUACUUGUGCUCCAAGUGAUGGGAAUUGCAAGGUUCCUGCUAGGUAUGUGGCCAAAGCUGUUGAAGACUGCUUCAUGACUGACCCCAGAGCAGGUAUUGAGACUGUCAUAGACAAGACAAAGGAGAAGUAUGGUGUGGAGGUUGGAAAGAUGAAGGCUUAUAGGGCAAGGCAGCAAGCUUUGAAUGUUGUGCAGGGUGACCAGGAAGCACAAUAUACUAGAAUUACAGACUAUCUGCAAGCUGUUUUGGACACAAAUCCUGGGAGCGGAUGCAUUGUGACAACUAGGGUGGUGAAAGAGCAUCCAAGCAAGAAUCCAAGAUUUCAUAGACUUUUCAUUUGUCUAGCAGCUCAAAGGGAGGGUUUUCUCAAUGGAUGUAGACCUUUCAUUGGUCUAGAUGGUUGUUUUGUGAAGUUAAACACAGGUCAACAGAUCUUGGCAGCUACUGGCAGAGAUGGAAACAAUAAUAUAUUUCCUUUGGCCUUUGGAGUAGUUGAGAAGGAGGACACCCCUACUUGGUGCUGGUUUUUAACUCAGCUCAAGAUUGUUCUUGGUGGUGAAUCAGGACAAUUUGGCAAUUACACAAUAAUUUCAGACAGGCAGAAGGGUCUGCUUAAUGCCAUUGACCAAAUAUUUCCUAACUGCCCUCAAAGAUAUUGUUUAAGGCAUAUUUAUGCAAAUUUCCAAAGUGCUGGAUUUAGAGGAGAUGAGCUUAAACAAUAUAUGGAUGCAGCAGCUUAUUCUUACACUAGGAAUGGGUUUGAAGAAGCAAUGGAAGAAAUUAGAAAGGAAAGUGAGGAUGCUUGGGUCUGGCUUAAGAAAAUUCCUGUAGAAACAUGGGCUAGAUAUGCUAUGGACACCAACUGUAAAACUGAUCUAGUAGUGAACAACAUUAGUGAGGUGUUCAACAGGAUGAUUUUGGAUAUCAGGGGCAAACCCAUUAAAACAAUGGUUGAAGGGGCUAGGUCCAAAUUGAUGGUGAAGUUCAAUGAAAAAAGAAGUGGGGGGCAGAGUGCUAGAUGGACAAUAACCCCAACAUAUACAGAAAUGCUAGAGGAGUCCAAAGAAUGGGCUAGGAAUUGCAAGGCUUUGAUGGCUGGGCCAGAUCUAUAUCAAGUAAAUAGUGGUGAGAAAUCAUAUGCAGUUGACUUGAAGAAGUGGACAUGUGGCUGCAGAAAAUGGGACAUGAGAGGUGUACCAUGUAACCAUGCUGUCUCUGCCAUCUACAAAUCAAACCAGCAGCCUGAAGAUUUUGUACACCAGUUCUUCAAGAAGCCUAUGUACUUAGAAACUUACAAGCCAAUGAUUUACCCUGUUCCUGGACCUGACCUAUGGAGAAAACAGAUUCAAGAGACAUAGACCCCCCUGUGUUCCAUAGGAAGAAGGGAAGAAACCAGACUCAGAGAAGGAAGGGCCAGUUUGAAGUACCAAAACCCAAAGACACUUCAAGAAUUGGAACUAUAACUUGCAGCAACUGUGGAAAGCAAGGGCAUAGGUACACAAAUUGCGGUGAUCCUUUGAAGCCAGCACUUGCAGCUAGGAAGAACAAGCAUAAGGAGGGAAGAUCUGCCCCUACAGAUGCAAGAGCUCCAACAACAACAUCUGGUGGAAGAGUUGCAGCUGAACAGCCUGCUCCAACAGCUGCUGCAAGUUCUAGGGCUGCAUCAUCUGCUCCCAGGCCUACUUCUGCUGCUGCUGCAAGAGCCUCUUCAUCAGCAACAACAGCCAAUGCAGCAACUGCUCCCAGGCCUACUUCUGCUGCUGCUGGAAGAGCCUCUUCAUCAGCAACAACAGCCACUGCAUCAACUGCUCCCAGGCCUACUUCUACUGCUGCUGCAAGAGCUUCUUCAUCAAGAGCUAGAUCUUCAUUUGCUCCUCCAAGGACUGCUACUUCUACUACAGCUCAAUCUGCUUAUGGAAGGGUGAGGAAGAGGCCUAACAGACUUAGGGAUUACUUCUAUGCUAGUGGAAAUUAGAGCAUAUCUAGCUGCUGUGCUUGUUGUGCUGCUGGCAUGUCUUUUGGAGAAAAACUAUGAGCUUCUUGUGCUGCUGCCAAACUUGUCUUUUGGAGAAAACUAUGUGCUUGUUGUGCUGCUGGCAAGUUAGAACUUGCUGAAUGCUGCUGCCAAACUAUGUGUCAUGUUGCCAAACUUGUUAUGUUGUGGUGCUGUCAAGUUAGAACUUGGUGUAAUGUUGGCAACCUAUGUGAACC